rnacentral:tRNA from 1 species
GGGGAUGUAGCUCAGUGGUAGAGCGCUCGCUUUGCAUGUGAGAGGCCCUGGGUUCGAUCCCCAGCAUCUCCA